UGGGGAAUAUUGGACAAUGGGCGCAAGCCUGAUCCAGCAAUGCCGCGUGUGUGAAGAAGGCCUUCGGGUUGUAAAGCACUUUUAUCAGGAGCGAAACGCUGUCGGCUAAUACCCGGCGGAACUGACGGUACCUGAGGAAUAAGCACCGGCUAACUUCGUGCCAGCAGCCGCGGUAAUACGAAGGGUGCAAGCGUUAAUCGGAAUUACUGGGCGUAAAGCGUGCGUAGGCGGUUUCUUAAGUCUGCUGUGAAAUCCCCGGGCUCAACCUGGGAAUGGCAGUGGAUACUGGGAGGCUAGAGUGUGUCAGAGGGUGGUGGAAUUCCCGGUGUAGCGGUGAAAUGCGUAGAGAUCGGGAGGAACAUCAGUGGCGAAGGCGGCCACCUGGGACAACACUGACGCUGAGGCACGAAAGCGUGGGGAGCAAACAGGAUUAGAUACCCUGGUAGUCCACGCCCUAAAGCGAUGCGAACUGGAUGUUGGUCUCAACUCGGAGAUCAGUGUCGAAGCUAACGCGUUAAGUUCGCCGCCUGGGGAGU
rnacentral:rRNA from 1 species